GCCGUGGAGAGCUGCGGGAACGCUACAACCUCUCCGGUUACCAGGUUGUGCGAUUGGCGCAGCGUGCUGUAAGCAGCAGAAUUGUCCGGUAUUCACGUCGGGAACAAGCCGACUGGUGUUUGCGUGCGGCCAAACAAAUGGAUACGGUCGAGAGGCAGCCCUUUUUGGGCGUUUGUGUGUAGUCAUGGGUCCUUUCAGACAGACGAACGUGCAGGGAGGCGGGGAACUGUGCGUACACCGGAUUUGGAGGACCAGUUUCUACUGGAUAUUGAGACGAAACCUAGUACAAGCUCCAGGUCCCUGAGGCGUCACUUCUGGAAACAAUUCCAUAGAGUUCUGCAGAAGUGAACCGUCGUAUGGCGCAUCCAAACAAGAUAGUUCCUCAGCAACGCCUAUUCAUCAGCCUUUAAAUAGCCACAGUUACGUGCUUGUGGACCGCAGUAAUCGCAAGUCUUUAUUUACACUUCUACGAGUACAACGACGACUGCAAGAAACUGGUACGUUUGCGACUAGGACGGUUGACUGUGGUGCUCCACGGACGUUCAAGGCUGUUUACAAUGAGGACGUCCUCACUCACACAGAAGAAACCCAGUGACGAGUGCUCGGAACAUUGCUCCUGUAGAGCACAGUGUGAAAUACAGACGGUAGCGGAGUCUGGAUGGGGAAGGUGUAGGCACAUUUAUUUGGUCCAAGCCUUGUUGACACAAAUGUAUUAUUUAACAAUAAUUGGUUAUACAUCCAAGUUAAUACAAUUAACAGUUUAAAAGGAAAUUUUAGCAAUAAAAAAAAAUUUUAAAACAUUCUCUAGAAGAACA